UACGGAGGGUGCGAGCGUUGUUCGGAAUCACUGGGCGUAAAGCGCGUGUAGGCGGCUCUGUAAGUCUGGUGUGAAAUCCCGGGGCUCACCCCCGGAAGUGCACUGGAAACUGCGGAACUCGAGUCCCGGAGAGGAGAGUGGAAUUCCUGGUGUAGCGGUGAAAUGCGUAGAUAUCAGGAGGAACACCGGUGGCGAAGGCGGCUCUCUGGACGGUGACUGACGCUGAGACGCGAAAGCGUGGGGAGCAAACGGG
rnacentral:rRNA from 1 species